UAGGGAAUCUUCUGCAAUGGACGAAAGUCUGACCGAGCAACGCCGCGUGAGUGAAGAAGGUUUUCGGAUCGUAAAACUCUGUUGUUAGAGAAGAACAAGGACGUUAGUAACUGAACGUCCCCUGACGGUAUCUAACCAGAAAGCCACGGCUAACUACGUGCCAGCAGCCGCGGUAAUACGUAGGUGGCAAGCGUUGUCCGGAUUUAUUGGGCGUAAAGCGAGCGCAGGCGGUUUCUUAAGUCUGAUGUGAAAGCCCCCGGCUCAACCGGGGAGGGUCAUUGGAAACUGGGAGACUGGAGUGCAGAAGAGGAGAGUGGAAUUCCAUGUGUAGCGGUGAAAUGCGUAGAUAUAUGGAGGAACACCAGUGGCGAAGGCGGCUCUCUGGUCUGUAACUGACGCUGAGGCUCGAAAGCGUGGGGAGCAAACAGG
rnacentral:rRNA from 1 species